GAGAAGAAGCUGCAAGUAAUGUCUGAAAUGGUCAAAGUUCACAGAUUUUUCUGGUUUUCAGUAGGUCUGACAAAAAUUUUGCUGUAGCUGUUUAUUUCUCUAGCAAUUAUAGGGAGCAGUGAUAAAUACAAGGUGUCCCCCAAGUGCCUUGACACUGCUGAACAGCCAGACUGCAGGACCUCACCAAUUAAACGGCUGCUUCUCCAUGGCAGACCUGUGUGUUAAUUCACAGACCUGCUUCAU
rnacentral:lncRNA from 13 species